UCUUGGUGGUAGUAGCAAAUAUUCAAGUGAGAACUUGAAGGCCGAAGUGGAGAAAGGUUUCGCGAGAACAGCAUUUGAUCGCGAGUCAGUCGAUCCUGAGGCACAGAUUAACCUCGUGAACAGCAUAAUUGGGCCCAAGGGGCAACUUUUGGGUCUAAUUCAAGUUAUGCUUAUUAUGCCGAAAGGGAAUCAGGGUUAAUAUUCCUGAACCUGGACUUGGAUAGCUUACGGUAACGUAAUUGAACCUGGAGACAGUGGCCAUUGCCCUAGGAAGAGUUCUCUUUUCUUUUUUAACGGCUCAUCUUAGUCACUAUUAGUAACCUUUUCGGUUGCUAGUGGUAGACAGCCCUGGAAUCGCGUCAUGCGGAGAUAGGGGCUGGAAAGUCGGAAGAGCAUCUCACUCUCCGAGAUGUCUGGUGCGCAAUGGUCGUUCCAUGAAAAUCCAGGGGAAAGAUUGAUUUUCAAGUCAGGUCGUACUCAUAACCGCAGCAGGUCUCCAAGGUUUUGAAGCCUCU
rnacentral:rRNA from 1 species